AUGCCUUGCUGGUCUCAAAGCAGGAGGAAUGAGAAACCAAGGAGCCAAAUAAAUGCAAGAGCUCAAAGGCUAAGAGGCUCAGCAGAGGGUGUGGCUGUCUCUUGGAGGUCAGGUCCAACCAGGGAAGAGGAGCACCCUGCUGAAAAAUCCCCCAGACUUUCAAAUGAGACCCUGUACAGUACAUGGGGAUUAAGGACAAACUAAAUUAGACCAGGUCUUAAGAAGGUGGAAACCUGGCCCCGGAUGAUCCCAAUCUCUCUUCUCUAACUGCCUUCUAGGAGAAAAAGAAAUACUUGCUAGACCAAGUUAACAUCAUACAGAGCCUCUACAACUUCUCAUUAACAGUGUUCUAUGAUGAACAACAACAAAAAGUACUAGGCAUGCUAAGCUACAGGUUGUUCAGUCACUCAGUUGUGCCUGACUCUUUGUGACCCCAUGGACUGCAGCACAUCAGGACUCCCUGUCCACCACCAUCUCCUGGAGCUUGCUCAAACUCAUGUCCAUUGAGUCUGUGAUGCCAUCCAACCAUCUCAUCCUCUGUCAUCCCUUUCUCCUUCUACCUUCAAUCUUUCCCAGCAUCAGGGCCUUUUCCAAUAAAUCAGCUCUUCACAUCAGGUGGCCAAAGUAUUCAGCUUCAGCUUCAGCAUCGGCCCCUCCAAUGAAUAUUCAGGAUUGAGUUCCUUUAUGACUAACUGGUUUGAUCUCCUUGCAGUCCAAAGGACUCUCAAGAGUCUUCUCUAACACCACAGUUUAACUGUCAAAAAAAAAAAAACAAGAGAAAAACAGCAGAAACAAUCUCACUACAUAUGCCACAAAAGACCUGGACAAGAAUGUUCAUAGCAGUUUUAUCCUAUUAACCCCAAACUGGAAACAGCCCAAAGGUCCAUUAAAAAGGAAAUGGAUAAACAAAUUGUAUAAUAUGUAUACAAUGAAACACUACACAGCAGUAAAAGAAGAGACUGAGCCAGUGAUACAUACAACAAUGGAGAUGGAUCUUAGGACCAUUUUGGAGAGCAAAAGAAACCAGGCACAAAUGAUACAGACAGUAUGAUUAUAUGAAAUGCAAGAACAGAUAAAAUAGCCUAUGGUGAUAGAGGCCAGACUAUUGAAUGAUCUCUAUGGAGAGGUACUCACUGGUAUAUUUGUUUACUGGGACAGCCAUAACAAAGAACCACAAAUGGGGUGGCUCAAAUAGAGAAAUGUAUUGUCUCAAAAUCCUGGGGGCUAAAAGUCCAAGUCUGUUUCAACAGAACUAGUUUCUUUUAAGGGAGACUCUGUCCUUGGCCUCUCACCCAAGUGCUGAGCUUUGCUGGCAACCUUUGGCUUUGCGUGGCUAGUAGAAGCAUCACCCUGAUCUCUGUCUUCAUCAUCACGCAGCAGCCUCCUUGAAUGCAGUGGUUCCAAUGGCAGCGUUUCAGGCAUGCUGAUUGGCUUGUGAGGGAGAGGGACCGGGGCAGGCAGUCAGGCUAGACUCAGGGCUCUUGCCAGCACCAUAACCCUCAGUACAGCUUCACCUCCCGGGUGGAUGGUUGGAUAACCAGAAGUCCAGAUGGCCACUCUGGGGUGCUUUAAGGUCUGCAGACACACCUGGGACUGAGCCUGCUGAGUGGAAGGUGGCUGGCCACGUUCCAGAGCCUUUCCUCUCAGCCUGUAGGUCUGCCUCGUCCAGACCACCAGCCAGCUGCAUGUCUCUGAACCAUGGCCUCCUCCCCAUGGUUCCUCACACACACUGCCUUCCCGUCUUGGUGAUGCUCAGGUAUUUCUUCCCGCCAGCAGAGAUGGGCUCCAGGAAGAAACCUGGAAGGGGCUGUGCUGUCCCUAGGUGUAUGACCUCCGUUGAGUCCUACCCCCUCUCCACGCUUUAGUUUUUUCCUGGGGCAUGGGACACCUCUCCUCGUUGCCCCCUGAAAACAGACUUCAGUGAGAAAAAGGCUGUGUCCACAAUCCCAGCCCUGGCACGGGAGAGUGGGUGGAAGAGCUUGCUCAUGGCCCCUGAGUUCCCUCAGUAACUCCGUUCAAAGCAGUUCCUGGCAAGACAGAGAACUGAAACAGCCAGGGAAUUUAUCGGACGAGAGGAAGAACUGGGGACUUCCCUGGUGGUCGAGUGGAUAAGACUGUGCUCCCAGGGCAGGGGUCCUGGGCUCAGUCCUUGGUCAGGGAACAAGAUCUCACAUGCUGCAACUAAACCCUGUGCAGCCAAAUAAAUAAAAAAAAUUUUUUUAAAGGAAGAACUGCUCAGGCUACAUCUCCUGAGGGCCAGCAGGAAGUCGUGCUGGUAACCGUCUGUCUGGCCUUUCCCCGGGGGGCAGGGUGAGAGCCAGGGAGGGUGAGAGUGGGGGAAGUGGAAGUGCUGGCUGCUCUCUGCUCGGCCCCCUUGGCUAGGAUGGCCUCCCUCAGUUGGUGCUGUGGCCCUGGGGAGAGUACAUUAGUGAGCAAAUGUCCCUAGUUGUGCUCCUUGGAGAGCUCAGAGCUGGAAGGGCACCUUCCAGGGCUCCUACUGUGGUGGGCAGGAGAGGACUCUGGUGUCAGACUCGGGUCUGAGGCUUGGCUCCUUCUUGUGGCAACUGUGUGCGCUCAAACAAGUUACUCGACCCCUCUGAACCUGAAUUCUGGCCUGUAAAAUGAGGAUAAUCUGUUGCUGCAUGAGGGCUAAAUGAGAUGUGUCCAAAAUGCCAAGCACGUGGAGAGGGCUGGUAGAGGAGCAGAGUCCAGUGAAGGUGCAUCCUGGGGAGAGGGGCUGGCAGACCCAACUCACAGCCUGUAUGAACCCCAGGUUCUCAGAAGCCUUCAGGUUUUGCUUAAAACAACCAUGAUUUUUGAGUUGAAUAUAUAAUAGAAAUUCCAUUUUUAAAUGAUAAUGAAGUAAAAUGGAUGCUCUAGAAAGAAUCUCCAGGUUAUGGCAGGGGCACACGGCUCUAACCCAGGAGGAGAAGGCUACUCAUUAUACAGACAAAGCUGAGGUUCACAGCAAUUAGUUGAUUAAUUAAGAUCAUAGGUCUGGGAAUGUCAGAAGCGGAUUUGGGCCCAGUC
ensembl:lncRNA